rnacentral:tRNA from 1 species
AGCAGGGUGGCCUCCUAGAGAAAGCACGGGCUUGGGAGCCAGAGGUCCUGGGUUCUAAUCCCAGCUCUGCCA